UAAGUUUAGAAAGAGGGGAGGUCGCCUGCCUCCUUCCUGUGACUUGCGGGGGAAAGACGACGCUGAGCGAACCUGCAGUGACUCGCCGCUGCCUCUCACGCCACCCCGGAGGCGCCCGGCGAACCCGAGGGCGGGUAAAUUAUCGAACUCUCCGGCGCUUGUCCGUACGGGUGUGGCUUCGUAGGAGGCCAGGACCAAGGAGGAGGAAGGCCGGAGAAGAUGAAGACAGCGGAGAGGGGGGAGAAAAUGAAAGAAACGCGGCGAGAAGGAAAGAGGGUGAAGGAAGGCCGUGGACUGCGGCCAGGCCAGGUCGGGGUGGUGCACGGGGGAGGAGCUGGCUUGCCGACGGAGAAGGAAAUCUGGGAGGACAGUUCAGCAGAAGCAGAGCGGAAACGUUGGAGGGCAUUUUACGUCUAGAGGAACGUUCAGAAUGUGUGAAGCAAACAGCCUGCUUUGGUGACGCCCAGGUCGCGGGUGUCCGGCAGAGAGGCUGUAAACAGCGAGUGUGGACCUCGUCUACGCAGCCCACCUGACUUGCUCCUUCAGAAAUGAAACCCAUUUCUAGCCUCUCCAGAUCUCGGAAGAUACUCAAAGGUAGAACCUGGGGGCAGAGGUCAGGACUCCUGAGGAGCUAUUUAAGAACUAUUCUAGGGAUCCUAUCAGGGAAGAAUUUCUGGUUGGGUUUGGUUCCCACUGCUUAUUAAAUGAAUGGCCUGUAGGGUGUUUCUGGCCGGAGUGUCAUUUGCCCCCCGGCUAGCUGCUGUGGCCAACUCAGAGUGAACCCUAACACUGCAUGGUGGAGCGGUUGAAGAACUACGAAGUUAGCAUUUAACACAUCCGAGAAGCAUUUAAUGAACACCUGCUGGGUGCCGGGCCCGUGGUGACACUGGGACCCACAGGGAGCAGACAGCCGGGCCCUGCUGCCGUCCUCGGGGCAGCACUGCCUUGUACAGUAGCUGUGUGUAUGUUUCAUGCCUCUUUGAAAUCAUAAACGUGAUGCCAGGACUGAUCCCAGGCAAGUUUGAAUCCUACCUGACACCCAGGCACACAGCAGGCACGCAGUACACGUUGGUUGAAUGGGUGUUAACAGCCCGACUGAGCACAGACUGUACACUGCAUCAUUCGCUCAGUGAGGAGCCCGGUGUGUCUUUCCUUUUCUCUGCCGCCUCCUCUACAUCUUCCUUGCCAUGGGCCUCGCUCCUGUAUUGUCCCCAAGCCUAGCCCGGGCUGUGAUAUAGAGCAGAUACUGAACACAUGUUUGUUGGCGAGCUGAAGGAAUCUGAAUCUGGGCUUGCCCAGAGAGAAUCAGUGCCUCCUUGCAGAGUCUGGGUGGGUCCCCGUGUGACCAAAGACACCACUGGCACUGGCACCCAGCGUGGCUGUGUCUUUGGGAGGGAACGGACUUCAUCAGAGGACAGAAGCAGCUUUCUGCAGCCUCCCUUUUGGAAGUGAUCAAUCUGAAAUCCAAAGGCUGGCCGAUUAUACUUAUCAACGAUGGCAGUUUGCUGGAGCCUCACUAAAAACAAGGGUCUGGGAGGAACUAAAGGUCCUUCAGGCGUUUCUUGUGAGGAGGCACCUGGAUGAAUUUCAAAACUACUCUGCCAUCUGCCAAAGUCAAAUGACAUCAGAUCCAGGCCCCAUCGCACGGCAGUGGUUAGCAAGAGGCUGGUGACGUAUGAGGCUUUGGAGACCAGAUCCCCUGAUGGGUUUCCAACACUUGGAGAGCCUUCCCAAGUGCACUGCCUGUUCCCCAGCGUGUCCCCCAGCCCUUCCAAGGGAAAGGGCGCAAAUGCAUGGGCUCCUAUGUGGAGCUGAACUAUUUGGAUGAUUCUGUUACAGGUUUUCAGGAUCCGAUCCAGCAGUCAAAAACUAUGUGCCGAGUGCUAGCACGUCUGAAGCACAGUGCCAGGUUGGGGAAGAUGUGAAAAAGCAAGAAGACAAGGCUUCUGCCCUCGGGUUUUCAGAGCAGUGGGGAAGGAUGCUGUUCUCCAGGUUGAUGUGACAAAGAUUCCAGGUUCUUCCAUCCUGGAAUGAAAAUAGAUUGGGAGUCUUCUUUGUCACAUUCCACAUUCCUCUUGAAUUUGUGUCAACCGUGUUGCCAUCUGAAGUAUGCCUGGCGUCCAUGGGAACCAAUCAAUCUGCAGCGCCAGCCUCCCCCGCCACGAGGCAGCAAACAUGACCCUGAGUGGGUCACAGUGUGAGCGUCUGGCUGAGCCUGUGCCUUCCGGGCCAGUGAGUCUGGGAGUGAAGCCGUCUAACUGGCUUUUCCACUGACAUCACACAGGGAAAUAAUUUUUAAGGCGUCUCUGUACUUUUCUAACUUCCUUGAAUAAUGGUGUUAUUUAUGUGGUUAUGAAACAUG